GAUUUCCGCUGUCAGAAUUACGAGACUGUCGACCAUGCUCGAGAUAUGCGUGCCGUGAGCGGGAGUGUGAUGUGACCGAUGUUUUGACCCUCCGACCGAGCGGUCUGACUGCGUAUCAAAUCAUGCAGCCCUUUUAUUCCACGCAAAUCUAGAGUGCGGUCUUCAUUCUCGUAGUUGAGACAGGUGAGAAUC